GGUUGGCUCAGUGGUAGAGUGCUUGCCUUGCAUGCAUGAGGCCCUGGGUUCAAUUCCUCAGCACCA
rfam:Dipodomys ordii contig_5888, whole genome shotgun sequence.